rnacentral:lncRNA from 1 species
UGCCAAGCCCCUCUCCAUGGGCAGGCUCUACUUAAGACUGAUUAAUUUACCCACCUGAGUGCUACUCCUUCUAAUUGACUGAACCUACAACAAAACAACCCUGGGCUGAUCAAUAGAGAAAUAAUUUGGCAAAUUGUGGUCAUAAAUCAUUCCUGAUCGACGUGUUAAUGAAUAAACCAAACUAAAUCAAUUUUCUUUAUUAAAACACAUUUCUUUCAUCCAGUGUUCCUUUAGGCAGGUGGUGUGAGGAGGUGGAUGGGGUUGCUGACCACAAGCUGCUUGUGCUGAGAUGGCAUCAGGGAACUGCUGGGUCUGGUGUGUGAUCCCAGACAGGCAAGUGGAGUCAGGAGUAUUUUCUGGGAAUUUGCAUGUCCAGCCAGCCAGGUGUUGGGGCGUUAAUUAGCCUCAUUAUUGCAAUGUUUCUAUCUGCAAAGAGGAGGCAGAGGAUCCAGGUGAGUCUGUUGGUGUCUUGUCACUGCUGUUGUCACCCCUUGCUCACACUCCUGGGGAGGUCUUCCACCUUCAGUACUUUUGAUCUGAUCUUUUGUGUGCUUUUCCCACUGCUCCCUUUCCCUCUGGCAGAUCUCCCUCCUUGCUCUGUGUGUUUUGUCACUGCUGGAGCUGAAAUUGAUGCCUUGCCCUGUCCUCAGAGCUCUUCCAUGACCAUGACCAGGGCAGAGCCGGAAAGGUCGCUGGGGUUAAGAGCAGCAGCGAAAGCCAAGCUGGAAGCAGCGCCUUGAGUCGCCGUGCUUUGAUUUCCUAAGCUGAGCAGCGGGCUGGAAUGGCUGUGGAGGAUGCUUGGGAGAGGAGCCCAGGGCUCAGACCCUGUCUGGGCAUUUCCUGCUGGUGUGGAGUGUGAGGAGAGAGGGUUUGGUGUCAUGUCUGCCCAGCUUGGACCCCUGUGCUCCUGCAGGACAGCACCCUGUAGUUCAGGGAUUGGAAUUUGUCUGGCAGGGACACCCUGUGAGCAUGGAUGUUGUUCCAUAUGAGAUUUCCCACUGGAUCUGCCACAGCUUAAUCUCAAAAAGGUUUGGGUUAGGAGGGACUUUAAAGCCCAUCUCAUCCCACCAUGUGCAGGGACACCUUCCACGAUCCCAGGAUGCUCCAAGCCCUGUCCAACCUGGCCUUGGGCACUUCCAGGGAUCCAGGGGCAGCCACAGCUGCUCUGGGCACCCUGUGCCAGGGCCUGCCCACCUGACAGGGAACAAUUCCUUCCCAAUAUCCCAUCCAGCCCUGCCCUCUGGCAGUGGGAGGCCAUUCCCUGUGUCCUGUCCCUCCAUACCCUUGUCCAAAGUUCCUCUUGUAGC